AGGAGGAACAACCGCAGUGGCGGGGCCAGCUCUGGAAACCUGGCUUCAUCCCCCGCAGUAGCUCCGGAGCUCUCCGUCUGCAGGGCCUGGAGGCUCGGGCCGGG
rnacentral:pre_miRNA from 1 species